rnacentral:rRNA from 1 species
GAGUUAUGGCGUCAGGAGUAGAACGCUGGCGGCGUGCCUAACACAUGCAAGUCGAACGGGUUAAGAAGAAAUUUCGGAUGGACUCUUAACUUAGUGGCGGACGGGUGAGUAACGCGUGGAUAACCUGCCUCGCACAGGGGGAGUAGCAGUUGGAAACGACUGAUAAUACCGCAUAAGACAACGACCCCGCAUGAGGUUGUUGUAAAGAUUUAUCGGUGCGAGAUGGAUCCGCGUCUGAUUAGCCAGUUGGCGGGGUAACGGCCCACCAAAGCGACGAUCAGUAGCCGGCCUGAGAGGGUGAACGGCCACAUUGGGACUGAGACACGGCCCAAACUCCUACGGGAGGCAGCAGUGGGGAAUAUUGCACAAUGGGCGCAAGCCUGAUGCAGCCAACGCCGCGUGAGUGAAGAAGUAUUUCGGUAUGUAAAGCUCUAUCGGCAGGGAAGAAAGGCCCUUUAAGGGAGAUGACGGUACCUGACUAAGAAGCCCCGGCUAACUACGUGCCAGCCGCCGC